GCCGCUUAAGCCGUGAGCCGUGGCUUUUGGAGAUAUACACAAGUACUGGCAACCCAAGCGGAUGGGCAUUGUCCCGUUCUUCCAGGUCAUCGUCGGCGGAAUGGUGUUUCUGUAUUCCAUCAACUACGGCAAACUGAAGCAUUACAGGAACUACAA
rfam:Aedes aegypti strain Liverpool cont1.802, whole genome shotgun sequence.